rnacentral:rRNA from 1 species
UCAGGCCUAACACAUGCAAGUCGAGGGGUAACAGAAGAAGCUUGCUUCUUGCUGACGACCGGCGAACGGGUGCGUAACGCGUAUGCAACCUACCCUUUACAGGAGAAUAGCCCGGAGAAAUCCGGAUUAAUGCUCCAUAAUAUCAUGAAUUGGCAUCUUUUUAUGAUUAAAGCUCCGGCGGUAAAGGAUGGGCAUGCGUCCCAUUAGCUUGUUGGUGAGGUAACGGCUCACCAAGGCAACGAUGGGUAGGGGUUCUGAGAGGAUUAUCCCCCACACUGGUACUGAGACACGGACCAGACUCCUACGGGAGGCAGCAGUAAGGAAUAUUGGUCAAUGGACGAAAGUCUGAACCAGCCAUGCCGCGUGCAGGAUUGACUGCCCCAUGGGUUGUAAACUGCUUUUAUAUAGGAAGAAACCCCUCUACGUGUAGAGGGCUGACGGUACUAUAAGAAUAAGGACCGGCUAACUCCGUGCCAGCAGCCGCGGUAAUACGGAGGGUCCAAGCGUUAUCCGGAUUUAUUGGGUUUAAAGGGUGCGUAGGCGGAAUUGUAAGUCAGAGGUGAAAGCCCACAGCUUAACUGUGGAACUGCCUUUGAUACUGCUAUUCUUGAGUUCAGAUGAGGUGGGCGGAAUGUGACAUGUAGCGGUGAAAUGCAUAGAUAUGUCACAGAACACCGAUUGCGAAGGCAGCUCACUAAAC